GACGAACGCUGGCGGCGUGCUUAACACAUGCAAGUCGAACGGAAAGGCCCUGCUUUUGUGGGGUGCACGAGUGGCGCACGGGUGAGUAACACGUGUGUAACCUGCCCUUGACUUUGGGAUAACUUCAGGAAACUGCGGCUAUUACCGGAUAGGAGCUCCUGAUGCGUGGUGGGGGUUGGAAAGUUUCGGCGGUUGGGGCUGGACUCGCGGCUUAUCAGCUUGUUGGUGGGGUAGUGGCUUCCCACGGCUUUGACGGGUAGCCGGCCUGAGAGGGUGACCGGCGACCAGGGGACUGCGAUAGGCCCCAGACGGCAACGGGAGGCAGCAGUCGGGAAUAUUACACAGUGGGCGGGAGCCUGAUGCAGCAACGCCGCGUGCGGGAUGACGGCCUUCGGGUUGAAAACCGCUGUCGACGGUGACGAACCGGGAGUGACGGUAAUGGGUAAGGAAGCACCGGCUAACUACGUG
rnacentral:rRNA from 1 species